UACGUAGGGGGCAAGCGUUGUCCGGAAUCAUUGGGCGUAAAGCGCGUGUAGGCGGCCCGGUAAGUCCGCUGUGAAAGUCGGGGGCUCAACCCUCGAAUGCCGGUGGAUACUGUCGGGCUAGAGUGCGGGAGAGGCGAGUGGAAUUCCUGGUGUAGCGGUGAAAUGCGCAGAUAUCAGGAGGAACACCAAUUGCGAAGGCAGCUCGCUGGGGACGUAACUGACGCUGAGACGCGAAAGCGUGGGGAGCAAACAGG
rnacentral:rRNA from 1 species